rnacentral:rRNA from 1 species
GUCAAGUCAUCAUGCCCCUUAUGUCCAGGGCUACACACGUGCUACAUUGGCGCGUACAGAGGGAAGCAAUACCGCGAGGUGGAGCAAAUCCCAAAAAGCGCGUCUCGGUUCGGAUUGGAGGCUGCAACCCGCCUGCAUGAAGUCGGAGUUGCUAGUAACCGCAGGUCAGCCAUACUGCGGUGAAUACGUUCCCGGGCCUU